CUGAGCCACCCAGGCGCCCCUGAAAUUAAGAUUUUUGAGGAGUCUUCAAGUACUACCUUUCUUCUGCUAGUUAUAAUGUGCAUGUAGGAAGUAUUUCCUGAUUUCCUGACAAUCUGCAUUCUGACGUGGAAGUCGACAUCUUGGAGAUGAAUGGUAACCAUUGAAUGAGUGAUCCUUUCCUGCUGUUCCCUGUGCCUUUCCCUGAGUCAGCCCAGCUCAUUGUCUUCAGGAAAGUGCCCUGGGUUUGUGAGAGCGUUGCUGGUGGAAUGGGGACCAUUUAUGGAAUCAGACCACUCUUUGCCUGGCCACCCUCCUUCUUGCCUCUGCCAUUAGGUUCCCACCCACAAAGUACUCUUGGACACUCACCUGUCCUGUUCCCUGUCAGCCUGGCCUCACUCACUCGCUGCCUUCCGGUACUUCCUCUGUCUUGGCCAAGGAUUGGCACACGGGAGGUUGUGAACCCUCACUCACACUCCCUCCCUGUUGGGGUAGCUGAUCUUGGUCAGGGCUAGGGCUGACCUGGCAGGACUUGGAACUGACUGUGCUUUUCGCAGAAAGGCACUUCUAUAACCUGCUUAGGGACCCUACCUACAUCUUGUGACCAGAUUGUAAACUGGUGUAAGCAUGGAUUCUGAUAGUUGCAGUUUGGGGAGUCACAGGAAGGGGGAAUGCCCAAGAAGGGGUGUGAUGAGUGUGGUUCACUUAUUGGGGUGGGGGGCGGCGUGGGAGCAGCGUGUAGAUAGGUAGAAGUGACUCUUCUUGCCCAUUACAGGGCCAGCCUGUGCCUCCUGGCAGCCCUCCCGUAUUCUAUACCUGAGCUGGAGUCUGUUUUGAGUCCUGAGGAGUGGAGGUGGGAAGGGGAAGAGUAGGGUUGCCUGUCCAAGCUCAUGUUUUUUUCCCCCGGGGAGCCUUCAUUUGAUGUGCGACCCGAAGGCGAGUCCUCGUCCAAAACGGUUUCUGUGCUGCGCUGCGGCCGUAUCUGCCCCCGUUUUCUGUGGGUCAAGGGGCUACAAGUCUGUGAUCUGGGAGGGACAGUGCCACACGCUGAAACCUAUUCUAUCCUCCCUUUCUGAUACAGCGUCAAGUGUUGUAUGUGGACAGUAAGUGCCCUUUCUGCAGUUCACAGUACCAGAGCCAUUAAAUCUAUUUACAUUUUGAGAAACGUGUAGAAAGGACACUCUGAGAUUUCAAAGGUUUUUGCGUGGGAAAAAAAGAGGUUUUGUUUGUUUCGUUUUGCUUAAUAGAAAAUUUGGCACAUUUAACAACUCAGACACUUAUGUGUGUUGGUGUAAAGCUGAAUAGCUGUUUGGGGAGUAGAAAAUUAGAACCAAAUGUUUUAGGAGCCACCAUACACAUAUUAUCCAUAAAAUGUAAAGCAAAAUUAUCUCUCAGACUACAUGGUGAUGGUCUCCGGAACUUUCUAGUGCCCUGGUUUUCCAGAGACAUGCCGCCAGGUUAAAGCACUCCUGGGGGCUUGACAAGGAUGUCAUGGUGUGAAGCUCAUGUAAAAAUUAAACUUAUUAGAAAUAAAAGAUGUGUCUUCUAUUUGUAAUUUUCUAGCUGACACAUAUCGUUUCAUGAAUGUUGCAGUGGUGACACCCGGAAUCUCCUCUGUCAGAAGUCCUGGUUGGUUUAGAAUCGGCUCCUCCUCUCUUCUUAGACAGCAGCGUGUGCGCCCUUGCUCACCCACUCCUCAUAAGCUCCUGAGAUUGGGGAAUGUCCUUGUAUUCUGGGGCUAGGAUGUUAACCUGAUAUGCAGAAAUCAUCAGUAACAGUUGGCAGAAUGAAGGAAGUUGUUAGAGAUCAAGGAAGGAACAGGAAGGCAUAAUUUUGUACUAAGUCGUAGUGUAUAAGUUCUCACUGCUUGUACUCACAUCUAUUAAAUGGAUUUUUAAAAUAAAAAGUUUUAUUUUUCCUAACUAUAACCUAUAAGAUCUGGAAAUAAAUAAUAAAGUACACACAAAAAAUUACCCCAAGGAUAACACCAUAGCUCAUUCUAAAAUUCUUCCAUUUGAGCACAUUGUCUUUCCUGUUCUAAAAUCUUUAUACAUAAUGUUCAAUAUGCUCAAAUAACGUGAGUGCAAGAAAGUACACACCAGUGAGCCCACCACGUAGUGUGAGAAAUAGAGCAUUAUUGUUACUCUAGCCCACUUUGGAGUUAUUUUGAUAAAAGAAGGUGGUACCAAGUCUAAUUGUAUAAAAAACUAAAGUGUUAAUCGUGAGACUCUUAAAUACAGAGAACAAACUGAGGGUUGAAGGGGAUGGGGGUUUGGGGAGGUUGGGAAAAGGAGUGAUGGGCAUUAAGGUGAUGGGCACUGGGUGUUAUAUGUAUGUGAUGAAUCACAGGAAUCUACUGAAGCCAAGACUACAUUGUAUGUUAGCUAACUUGAGAAUACGUAAAUUAAAAAAAAAAAAAAAAAAAGGAAUAGGCUAUGGAAAAAAAGAGAAAGUGUUAGUCACUGGGGUCUUCCUCUGCUUUUCUUGUUCAUCAUGUGUUGCUUCGAAAAUAAAUUCUACAAAUAGUGCAAGGACAUAUUUGCAUUAAAAUCGAACACUUUGGAAACAUAGAAUCAAAGGCAAAGAACUUCCUCCACAUCCCUUCACUCUGCCGCCAUCACCACACCCAGAGGCACCGGUGCUUACCAGUGGUGUGCCCUGCCAGGCCAUUCGCCAUGUCCAUAGGCAGAGAAUGUGCCAGGCGCUUCCUCAUGAGAAAGAUCCGGCAAGUAGCACACUCGCCCCCUUUGUAUUGUGCUCGGUUAAUUAAUUGUUGAAACAAUUUUUAUUGUCCAGGGCUGCUCUCUGAGCAGGAUCGUGCCCCCUUGUCCUCACAGAGGGGCAGCGAGCACCCCACACGCAGACCCACAGCCCAGAGAUGUGGGAUUACAUCACUUGGCGUGACCAGGAGGCUUGUUGUGCUCUAAAUUCCAAUUAAUCAAACUUGAAAGGGAAUGGAAAUUAAUUACUGAGUUAAACAGUGUGAAGCAAAGUUUAAUUUGGCAUAUUAACAGGAAAUAAAUGCACUUUUGAGCCUUCACUUUAAUGAUGAAUUAAAACUGAUUCAGCUCCAUUUGUGCACAUGCACACACUCACGGACAUGUGUGUGCAUACCCGUGCACACCCACAUAUACAACAUCACUGAUGUGAUCCCAAUUUAGUCAUAUUGGGUGUGACUUUAUAACCGAAACAAUUGAUGAUGGGGAAACAACAUGUGUAUAUUUGUUCCGAAUAAACGGUAAUACAAAUCCCAGGGGUGAUAAAGGUAGGUUCAGAACCUAGGCACGCUGCCUCUCCCCUCAAGUCAGGAUGGUAAGGAAGUGGACUCUUAUAGGUUGUAUUUCUGCAUGUUAUGGUUCUGAGGUCUCUGAUCCCCAGACUUCUUCCCCGCCAGACCGCCUCGUGACCCUCACUUAGACUGUAUUUUAGUUCUCACUGCUGGAGUCAAUUAACAGUGAACCAAGAUAGGCCCUGCUGAGUGUACCUUGGAAUUGCACGUUAAUAUUAGAAUGGCUCCUUGGCCCCGUUCCCAGGGGCACAGAGGUGGCCUGCUGCAGCUUCGUGUUGCACUCACCAUUGCCCUGCUGUGAAGCCCUCAGGAUGCUGCCCAUCCACAGGGUCCAGUUUAUUUUUUAUUUUAUUAAAAAAAUUUUUUUUAAUGCUUAUUUUUUAUUUUUGAGACAGAGAGAGACAGAGCAUGAAUGGGGGAGGGUCAGAGAGAGAGGGAGACACAGAAUCCGAAGCAGGCUCCAGGCUCUGAGCUGUCAGCACAGAGCCCGAUGCGGGGCUCGAACCCACAGACCGUGAGAUCAUGACCUGAGCCAAAGUCGGAGGCUCAACCGACUGAGCCACCCAGGCGCCCGCAUAGGGUACAGUUUAAAUAUCCUACCUGGUUGGCCUUUGCUCAGCCGGCCUCUCUCUAGGACCGUUCUCUGACAGGACACUUGCUCCAGCCAAGCAGCUCAUUUUCCCCAGAGCCCCGGCACCCUGCUUUCCUAACUGUUCUUAGAUGUCGUCCUGCCCAGUGGAUUUGCCUUUUUACCUCCAUCUUGUGAAGGUCCACCUCUCCUCACAGUGGAAGGGAAUGCAAGAGGAAUUGCCCCAUUUCCCAGAUGGAUUCCUGACUUUGAGGACAGUAGAUGUGCACAUUUGCUGAGACACUCUUAAAAUAAUGUCUUUCCUUUAGUCCCCAGUUUCUGGAUUCAUAUACUAAUUCAUUGAAUUAACUCCAAUCUACAAUUUUGAAGGUGGGAUGGGGCAAUUAAUUAUCUACUCGAUGAAACUCAUUUGCUGUUUCCCAUGGCAUAUCUAAACCCAGAACCACUCAGCGUGUUUCUUGGGGGAAAGUUAACUAGAAAUGCCAGUUAUAGAUAGUGUUUUCUGCAGGGUCCAGGAUCCAUCUUUCCCAUCAUUGUUCUGAAAGUUUAAUCAGUUAUUUUUUUAAUUUUUAAAAGUUUAUUUACUUUUGAGAGAGACAAAGACAGUGUGAGUGGGGUAGGGGCAGAGAGAGAGGAAGAGAGAAUCCCAAGCAGGCCCCACACCGCCAGCACAGAGCCCAACGCGGGGCUCAAAUUCACAAAACUGUGAGAUCAUGACCUGAGCCAAAACCAAGAGUCGGUCGCCUAACCGACUGAGCCACCCAGGCGCCCCUUUUUGAUGGAUGAGCAAAUUCCAUGUAUGGAGUCUCUUGGUGCCCUGUGCCUCUUCCAUUUGGUUCAGGGUUUGCUGUGAUGAAUGGUCAGCUGUAAGUGGGUGACACUGCCGUGUUCUGUGCAGACGGUGACCGAGGAGCUGUGUCUGCCUCCCAUACCUACCCUGGCCUUUCUUCCUGGCCCGAGUCUUGGCUGAUUUGUCUAUGCUCUGAUGUCACUUUGGUGUUACACAUUCUAGAUCCUGGUGUCUAAGAAUGCCACCAGCAUAGAAGGAAGGAAAUGUUCUAUUGUACAGGAUCGUCCAGUGCUUCAUUGAGGCAAACCAAGCAGAUUUGAUUAUAUCAGAACCAAGAAAUGCUAAUAGUUGCUUCUCACUUACUAAGACUCGGAGUCAAGAAUUGCUGCAAUAUUUAGAGAAAUCUGCUAAAUCCCGAUUUAAUUUUGAUUCAUUUUGCUGGAAGCAUUGGUGGAGACAGGAAGUUCGUGUUGGGGAUCAGAAGCUAUUGAUAUUUUCAGCCACAACCAAGAGCCUGGAUGAAUAAUGUGUAUCAGUGGUUGUGCCACUUUGAAAAGCACAAAAACUAUCAUUAAAGCAAAAUUUUAUACUAAA